CCAGCUCCAAUAGCGUAUACUAAAGUUGUUGCAGUUAAAAAGCUCGUAGUUGGAUUUCUGGUUGCGGAGGUCGGUCCGUCCCUCACGGGAUGCGUACUUUUCCUCUGCGUCCAUCCUCGGGGAGAGCGCCCUUGGCAUUAAGUUGUCGAGUGCGGGAUCCUCGUCAUUUACUGUGAGCAAAAUAGAGUGUUCAAAGCAGGCUUAGGCCGUUGAAUAUUUUAGCAUGGAAUAAUAAGAUAGGACCUUGGUCUAUUUUGUUGGUUUGCACUCCAAGGUAAUGAUUAAUAGGGAUAGUUGGGGGUAUUCGUAUUCAAUUGUCAGAGGUGAAAUUCUUGGAUUUAUGGAAGACGAACUACUGCGAAAGCAUUUACCAAGGAUGUUUUCA
rnacentral:rRNA from 1 species